AAUCUUUGUGGACGUAUUGGAUUUAGCGAUGACCGAUACAAUUGCUUAAUAAAAUUCUUCCUUGGCGAAGAACUAACGAGAACUGAGUCUACGGAUCGGAUGAUUAGGGCUUUGUGAGAGAACCGAUGAUACAUUUCUGGGGAAAAUGCCACUGAUAACGCUAUUUAAUUGAUACAUUUCUUCCUCCUCUACCGAAACACAAGUGCUCGGAGGAGCUGAAAAUUGCCGAAGCUGAAAUGAAGAGUGAUAGGGAAAUGAAGGAACAAAGAUGCCAAAAAAAACAAACAAAAGCUCGACUUUUCCGGGGACAAUUCUCAGUCUCACACCAUUCACCAGUUCUCAGGACAUCCAGGUUUAGGUAGUAAUAGGUUUUCCUCUAUACCGAUAUAUUCCAUGGCUCUCGAUGGCAAACUAAACAUGAAAUCGGAGUGGGAGAAGAUAUUUUAUCAAAGAACAAGCUUGAGUGUGUGCAACGAGAUUAUGAGAUGGAUCCUCGCAUAAUUAAGUUUUUUUUCGUUUCUGUGGUUUUUGCCUUAAUCAAGUAUAGGGUGACAUGAAUCUGGUCUAAUGCAGCUGUUCAAAAAGAUGUCAUUGCUGAUUCUGGAUACACAGCUUUCUCGCAACAAUGGAGAAAAUAAGAUCAGGAGUCAGGACAUGAGCAAGACAAUUCCUUUUGCCCACAGUCAUAAAACGGCACCGUUUGGUUCUUGUAGCAGUCAACAGAUGUUAGAGACAAACCAGACAAGUUCUUGUUAUAUAUGGUAUGUGUUUUGUUAGCAAAAGCAUUUUGAGUUUUGUACUGUUUCUGUUUUUUUUUAUGUCCAUAAUCUAAAUGACCAAAUUUGGUCCUUCUCGCCUUCUCGGGACGCACGUGAGUGUCUCAGUCAGAUACACUUUUUACAUCUGGACUGUCUUGGACCCAUCUCCUGGCUCC